UGAAUACGAGAUGCUACGGCGUCGAAGCAGUCUAUGUCAUACUUCCAAGAAAAGCUUGCACUGUCAUAAACAAAUAAUGCCUGUACCAUAACCGACACAGGUGGGUAGGUAGAGUAUACUAAGGGGCGCGAGAUAACUCUCUCUAAGGAACUCGGCAAAAUGACUCCGUAACUUCGGGAGAAGGAGUGCCUUAUUUAUAAGGUUGCAAUAACAAGAUCCAAGCAACUGUUUACCAAAAACACAGGUCUCCGCUAAGUCGCAAGACGAUGUAUGGGGGCUGACGCCUGCCCAGUGCCAGAAGGUUAAAGAAGUCGGUUAGCAUUAGCGAAGCUGAUAACUGAAGCCCUGGUGAACGGCGGCCGUAACAAUAACGGUCCUAAGGUAGCGAAAUUCCUUGUCGGGUAAGUUCCGACCCGCACGAAAGGCGUAAUGAUUUGGAUACUGUCUCGGAGAGGGGCUCGGUGAAAUAGACUUGUCUGUGAAGAUGCGGACUACCUGCACCUGGACAGAAAGACCCUAUGAAGCUUUACUGUAACUUGAAAUUGAAAUUGGACUUUAUUUGCGCAGCAUAGGUGGGAGGCGUUGAUAGUAAUCUUGUGGGAUUAUUGGAGCCAUCAGUGAGAUACCACUCUUGUAAUGUUAGAUUUCUAACUUUGUAUCAUUAUCUGGUCAAAGAACAGUUUCAGGCGGGCAGUUUGACUGGGGCGGUCGCCUCCUAAACGGUAACGGAGGCGCACAAAGGUUUCCUCUGAACGGGUAGAAAUCGUAUCUAGAGUGUAAAGGCAUAAGGAAGCUUGACUGUGAGACCUACAAGUCGAGCAGGGACGAAAGUCGGUCUUAGUGAUCUGACGGUGCUGAGUGGAAAGGCCGUCACUCAACGGAUAAAAGUUACUCUAGGAUAACAGGCUGAUCUCCCCCAAGAGUUCACAUCGACGGGGAGGUUUGGCACCUCGAUGUCGGCUCAUCGCAUCCUGGGGCGGUAGUACGUCCCAAGGGUUGGGCUGUUCGCCCAUGAAAGCGGUACGCGAGCUGGGUUCAGAACGUCGUGAGACAGUUCGGUCCAUAUCCGGUGUAGGCGUUAGAAUAUUGAGAGGAGCCUUCUCUAGUACGAGAGGACCGAGAAGGACAUACCUCUGGUGUACCAGUUAUCGUGCCAACGGUAAACGCUGGGUAGCUAUGUAUGGAGUGGAUAACCGCUGAAAGCAUCUAAGUGGGAAGCCCACCUUAAGAUAAGUAUUCUC
rnacentral:rRNA from 1 species